UGGGACUGAAGAGGCAGAAACAAAUGCUAUGUAUGAUAAAGAACUAAAGGAGGCCAUUAGAGGAGUACAAGAUGGUGUGACUGCUAUAAACGAGCAUUUGGAAGAGUCCAGUAAACAAACUCGUGACACAUCCUUGGCACUAAAGUGAUGGACAAAAACAAGCAGUUGAUUAUUUUCUCUUUGGCAAUUUGAUGCUGGUGGAAAACUAUUGCAUAAAUUGGAUACUAAGCUUGCAGUUAGCUCUUAUGGGGAGGGUGAACUCGCCAGCCUUAUUCAAAUAUUAUACAUUAAACAACCUCCAUCAACAGUCUCUGGAUAUGAUGAUGAGGUGGAAUGGGCAGAAUAAAAAAUCAAAGAAACUAAUAUGUUUACUGUAGACAAAUAUCAACAGGCGAGGUUUUCCAACACUUCAGAGCUGUAGAUUUCACUUUAUAAUUUGGUGCUUUUCCAUGGAGAUAUAGCUUAUAGCAUAUUUAUUUUAUCGCUAGCAUAGUAUGGGAGUUUGAGUUUCUGCAUUUUCCCUCUUGUCAUGUAUGGUUUUAACCCAUGAUGAGGGUAGCUCCA